UGGUCUAAAAGACGUGAACUUAGGAAGGUAAGUGAAGAGGAUAAGGUAAAGCUUUUGGACAUGUGCUCUGCUUCAGAGGCCAACAAGGAAUUGAUUCACCACAAGAGUUCAGUAUUUUUUGAACAGGGACUUAUCCUACCUUCUGGGGUGUGGCAAGAUAUCGCGGAUUGAUGGGAUUGUGAAAGGAGAACCGACGGUUACUGUUCGUCCCAACGCAGCUCAAAAGUUCCAAAGAAAUAAACAGGCUGGUGGAGGGGCCUACAUCACGGCAACCGUUCAAGUUGAAGUUCCACCCGAG